rnacentral:tRNA from 1 species
UUUUGUCCAUUCAACCAUCUUUUCC